rnacentral:lncRNA from 1 species
AGGUUACGGUUAGGGGAAGGUGUAAAACCCAAACUUUGAUUAACUCGUUUGGGUAGGAGCAUGUUUCGAAAUUCCCAUGUGAUCAAUAUCCAUUUAUCUAUCUGUCUGUGGUUAAUGCAGUGGUUCUCAAAUCCAGUCCUCGAGCCCCCCCGUCCUGCAUGUUUUGGAUGUCUCCCUGCUCCAAAACACCUGAUUCAAAUGAUCAGCUCGUUAUCAAGCUCUGUAAUGGCUCAAUAACGAGCUGAUCAUUUGAAUCAGGUGUGUUGGAGCAGGGAAAACAUCCAAAACAUGCAGGACGGGGGGGCUCGAGGACUGGAUUUGAGAACCACUGGGUUAAUGCAAGGAAACAAAGAAAGCCAUGCAUGCAUACUGCACACAGGAAGUGCCCAACCAGGAUUGUAAGUGGUGAGUGGUAAGUGGUGAGUGGUAACACUAACCCUUUACAUCCUGAGUGUAAUCCUGUUGCAUCCAGCCAUACUGGAGCUACAUAAAGUGCACUUGGUUGAGGUCACAUAGUCCAUGGCUUAAAAGCUCCACAGAAGCUCAGAACAAUGUAUGUUACAUAAGUAAUAUUCAUGUCACAGACAAACCAGUUUGAUGUGUGCUAUUCUUUUUGUGGGCUGUGUGAGACCUAAUUAGAACCAUGUGUGAACCACUAACAGUGAAUAUCCAACUGACUCCUGAGUUGAUCUUUUCUUGUUUCUUGCCUGCUGCAAAUACCCAAUUAAAUCCACUUAGCCUGGAUUAAUUGGUCCGUUUAGCUGAGUAGUAAAAAAGGGUUGCUUCAGUUAACGAGAUUGUUGAAGAGGUCACACAACUGACCCAAAUUCUACUGCACAAAAAAAUGUUGUAAAAGGAUGUUACUGACAGAAUUAUUUCAUUGUAAUAUCCUCCUAGCAGCCGUGGUAUUACUGUGUAUCCAUUACUGUGUCGUGGCAUUAAGCCUGCUGGAUUUGUGUGUGAUUUUUCUGACAAAUCCUCUGAUCAUGCAUAGCAGCAGUGAGUGAGCAUCCUUAUCCCUCUCUCCUGGAGAUAAAUGCUUUCUCUGAAUGUACCAGUUACCUUUGUAUAACCUAUACCUCCUUUUAUCCCAGACAGAUGGCUUAUCUAAGCAUCCAAAUGAGUCAAACACAGCUUACAUAAUGUAAAAACACUUCAUUUUUUUUCCGAACAGUCUUUUAGAAGGAAAACUGUAACAACUGAGAAACCUGAAUGAAAAUGUAAUUUAUCGUUGGUUAUUGUUUUGUAAAAUGAAAGCAGAGGGAUUUAUUGUCAGAUAUGAAUUAGGUUAUGGAAACUGAGGAAAAACGAGGGGAUUACUAACAAUAUGGGACUGCUCAAAACAGUUUAUGACGAUGAACUUGUCAGAGGUCAUGGGCCCAGUCACAGAAUUACACAGAGGGCAGGAGGUAGAACUUCAGACACAUAAAACAAUAAUUGAACAUUAAAACUAAUUGAGCACAUGCUGAUAAAAAUGGAUGAAAGGGCAAUGUACAGUAAAAUGAGCAAGGUAAUCAUCUCUCAGUUCUCUUAGUAGAGUCAUAUAAGAAAGCAGACUUCUAUAUUUAGAAGAAAAAUACAUAAUAAGCUGUGUAAUAGUUUAUUGUUAUCAUAGAAUCCCAUCACAACAAGUAUACAAACUGAGGGUGGUGACCUAAUAAUUUAAAUGUUGAGUUUAAAGCUCCUGUAAGGAAUUUUGACAUCUCUGAAAGAGACUGAAACUCAUAUUAAUGUCUUUCUAUGAUACUCAAAAGCAAAUAAAACCGUAAGUGAAUUAUAAAUAAAAGAUAAAUGUGAAUAUAAAAGGGAGAAAAAUGAAGUUUUGGCCUGGUGCCCCUUAUAGUUGGUUACAUUGAAAGCCCAAACAAAUGUAAGAAAUAGCCUCAUUGUAGUUAUAAAGUAACAAAAAUUAUUAAUUGAAGUGGCAGCAAACACACAAAUACCAACCAAGUGGCAGCCCUAAACGUUUAAAUAUGAAGCUCGUGUGGAAAUGCUAAAAAUUGCAGUUCCUUAAGCGUCCUUAAUCAGCAUUUCCACUUAAUUAGGGGGGUGCGGCUGACUUGUCUGGCACAAUGGAGCUGCUAUCAGGGUGUUAAAGGUCUGCCUCAAUUCUCACUCCUUUCCUCUUAAAAAGUUGACCAAAAUGAAGGUUGAGUCAAUGUUUCUAGUAUGGCGUCUGUCUGUCAUUGUUGGGUAAUACAAACUAUAUCUGUAAUUCCCCAAAAGAGGAGCAUCAAACCCUGAAAAUGUUGUCCAUCUCUCCCAGAGGCUCUAUUAUUUUCAGACAAUAACAAUAGCUUUCAAGAUUACCGCCCAACUGACUCUGAGAAAACCAGUGCAUUUAUUAUAAUGCAAAUAGGCCAGUGGUGGUUUUGAAAGGUCACAUCUGUACAUGCUAUUCUGGCAGAAAAUAAAAGCUUAACAAAUAUGUACACAACAUAUGCUGUAGCUUUGAAAGAAGCCAUGUACAAAAUGGAUAGCACCAAAGGCCAGACUAAAGAGUAACAGAGAUAAACGCAAAGAAACGUGUGAGACUUGACAACAGUCAGAGCACAUGCAGGUAAAUCUCUGUGUGUCAUCUGUAACUUCAAUCUGAGUGAAUUUUUCUGCUAAGAUGUACUAAAUUCCUGUUGUGUGCAGUCUGCAGCAGGGUUAGUAACACACAGCAGGAGUCAGAUACCUUCAGAGGUGCCACAUUUUCUCUGUGUUUCGUGUCACUCCCACUUUUAGCACUUUUUCUUGUUGUUCGCUCUUUGCAUUUCUCUUCCGCUCUGUUCUUUCUUCCCCUUUUCAUUUUUCACAAACACACUUCCCGCCAAAAAUAACCAAGGAACAAAGACGUGUUUUCAUCACUGCUUAUGUGUGACUGAUGUCUAAGUGGGUGAGAGACUGAGAAUAAGAGAGUAAAAGAAUACAGAGAAUUGUUCAUGCCGGUAUUCGCGUGGUUACCCAUUCGUCUACUGUACGUAAUGUGUUUGUGAAAGCCAGAGACACCCAGAUUGGGAGAGAGAGAGAGAAAAGCAAGGGAUUACAAAAGGCUAUGCUGGUGUGUGUGUGUGUGCACAUGGAGCCUCAUUGGCCAGAUGAGUUGUAUUCACUACAAAAGAGGGACUUUAGUGAGAUGAGAGGCAGUAAGCUCAGGGAUUAGGUCUGUUGGGCAGCAGAGCAGCAGGCCUCAGGGUGGGCUUUCUGUUGGGCUUACUGGAAGGAUGGAGCCCGUGUGUCAUGUGGAUUGUGUUGGUAGACAGAGGGGCCGGUGUUUGUGUGCUGCAGUCAUGCCUGAACUGUGAGCCUGCACUUUACGGUCAAUAGGAAACUACAACACAUACAUAAACAGCCUAAUAUGAUUCAACUGGCUUGUGAAAAACGCACAGACAGAGGGAUUUAGAAAUACAAAGCACCUGACUCAAUUUCCUAUCCUGGCCUUUUUUUUUCUUUGUUGUUUUUUUUUUUGUAAAAAAUAAAAGGAGUGCAGGGGAUGGUGGAUAACAAUGUGACUGCCAGGCAGCACGUGGGAGAAAGUCACUGGUGGGAAACUGUAUUGUGGCUGAAGUUUCUCGCUCUUUCUUCCUGUUAUCGCCUCAGUUCACUUCCUUCAGAGGAGCGUUACACUCAUCAUAUUUACACUGAUGAAAGACUCUUUUUUUCUUCUUCUUAGAAACGUGAAACAGCAGUACAGUUUCUGUCAGUAUUGCAUUACUUGUGCUAUUAAACAAACCCAUGCAAUGUGGGCAAUGUGCCAUACAUGUUGCUUGUGUUUGUGACUGAUAGGUUCUUCUCUUUAUGUGAGUUUUUUUAAUCAUUUUUUUAAAACUGUGGCGGCUGGUAAAUGAGCAUAGCACUUGGAUUCAAACUCACAAAAAAGAAAACUAACUAAAGUAAAAUUCCCUAACAGUCAUAGCUGUUUGAUUCGCUUAGUACAGGGGUCGGCAACCCGCGGCUCUGGAGCCGCAUGCGGCUCUUUCUUCCCUAAGCUGCGGCUCCCAGUGGAUUUGGAAAAUAAAUAAUAAAUACUUAAUUGCAUUUUAUUUUAUUUUAUUAUUAUUAUUAUUAUUUUUUGUAAUUCUAAAUUCAAAGAUUAUAAUGCUCUUGUAACAAUAAAUAAACUAUUAAGGCUGCAACAACGAAUCGAUUAAGUAGAUUCGUCGUGACGAAAAAAUCUGUUGCCAACAAAUUCUGUAAUCGAUUCGUCGGGUCUUUAUAUAUGUCCAUGGAUACCGGCGUGUAAACAUCAGCAGUACGCACAGAAAAGAAACAGCCAUGGCCGAGGCAGCGGCUGAGAAAAACAUGGACACAACCCAACCCAAAUCCCGACCUAAAACAUCAGUGGUGUGGGAAAACUUCACCAAGACUGAAAACGAAGGCGUUCAGUGCAACAUUUGCAAAGACUGUUUUGCAUGGCUCGGGAGUACAUCGAUGAUGCGCGAGCACAGGGCUCUCAAGUCUCACGCAUUCAGCGUAUGACACACGCAUUCCCACUCGUUCACACGCUCACACACCACACAUUGUAUUUCUCACGCAUUUAAAUGAACACGGUGAUGUCCACCAAGUUGCACUUCUUCAACUAUGGAACUGGGGGAAAUCAACUGAGUUCCUCCGAGAGUUCAGAAACUGCGUGCCACGCACAAGCCAAUCAAAUAAAGUAUAUCUACUGAACAGCCAAUCAAAAAGCAGCAUUGCUGUAUCCGGGUAGAUUUUGAUAUGUUGCGGUUUAACUACAGAAGAAGACAGACACUCGCCGAAAUAAUUCAUUUAUUUCAUAAAUGCAACUCGCUACAGUUUUUUAUAUACUUUGUAUAACGGUAAAAAAAAAAAAAGAUAUAUGCAAUGUUAUCUUCAUUUUAGAUGUCAAAGAGGUUUUGUGGCUCCCUGUGUUUUCUUUUCUGUGGGAAACUGGUCCAAGUGGCUCUUUGAGUGUUUAAGGUUGCCGACCCCUGGCUUAGUAUCAUAUUGUAUUGUAUUCUAUUUUAUCAUAACUCAUACUGUAAUAUCCCAUAAUGUUGUAUGUUGUAUCCAAUCAUAUCAUUUCCUGUUAAUUGUACAUUACAACUUAUCAAAUGGUAACGUAACCUGUCAAAUUAUUACCCAUCUUUUUAUGUUAGAAGGAAGUGUAUUGUUCCAUAUUUUAUUCUAUUUCAUCAUAUCAUAACUCAGCUUUAAGUUUUGUAUUAUCUGAUGUAUCCCAUCAUGUCUUUCUUUGGAUUGGCCUUGGAUUGUAAAGAAAUGUGAAUAUGGUGGAAGAAUCAUUUUCAGGUACCUAUAGCUGGCUCUGUUGGAUCGCUGGCUCAUUUCCCUUUAGGCUGAAAAUAAUGAAACCCUCAGGGUGUGUGAUUGCUCUCUGUUCUUUGGAGCAAAAGAACAGAAAAUAAUCUCCUCUGUUCUCCCCUUUGUGCCACCGUGGAGACUGUCGUUGGAUUGUCUUUGCGUGUUUCAGAUCUCUGCCAUAGCUCAUUGUCAUUCAGGGAAAAAAAAUCUUCUCCCGCCAUCCUUCUAAAACUUGCACAGCAGGAUAAUCCAAACAUUUUACUUUCACUUCGGUGCAGCAGUAGAAGGGGUAAUGCCACGAGGCUGCAGUUAUACAUGUGUUUCUUUCCCUUUUUCUUCAUCAUCUGAAAGUUGCUGGUUAAGGAGAGAAAAACUGAGUCCAACACCAGUUUGUACAAUGGAAAAGGAAGUUGGGUAACCAUAAUGAUGAAUACAGUAGAUUAUUCCUUUUUGUUACAUGGUUGGGCUUUGGGAAACUCCCUUGGGCAACCUGCCCAUCAAUCCAACUCAAACACUUCAAGCAGCCUUAAAAGACAUUUUCUUUUUGUGUCUAAGUUGAGGAAGUACUGUAAUAAAAUGGGCCUGCCAUUCGAAGGAAGAAAUGACCUCACCAUUUGUGGAGAUACCACUGAAUUCCUGUGGUUAGGUACAGAAGUACCUCAAAGGACGCUCAUAGUUGACAUUUCAUAAUGAAACUGUACAGUACCAAAUAGCACAUGCCGUUUUCAGGAAUUUCAAGACAUAAACCAGUCAAACAAGAAUCUAUACUAUAUGCCACCACUGUGCGAAAAGGCUCGGAGCGGGUACAGCAACUAGUCAGCUCGGUAAAUCACUGAGUUGUUCAAAGAGUCGCAGUUGCCUGAGUUGUUGGCCUGGGGCAGUAUUGUGCCAGAAGGUAUUGCAAAGUAAAUCUAUUAGGCGCUGCAAUUUGUCCUUUUGAAAGCAUAAAAAUGCCAGAGAAGACUGGUUUAUUUCCGUUUAGGGACUGAUUGGACUUUAUGUUUUUAUUCUUGACACUUUUAUUCCAAAAAGAUUUUAACAUUUUAAGGACAGAAAUUAGAGUAAAUGAGGAUACAAAUGACAAACUUCUGCUGAGUUUAAGCUACUCUGUUAACCUACAUUUGAAACUUGAAUGUCUUCACUUCAUCCCUUGUUUACCUUUGUAACAAGUUUUGGCAAUGUGCAGCUGGGUGUACGUGUCGGGGAGGAACACACAGCUUGUGGUUGAUUGAUAUUUUUGGCACACUUCAUACAGCUCAACUUAUAAACAACGACAGCGUCCUUCUACCUUAUUUCAAGAGAAGGAAGCAGAUCCCCGGUUAUUCAGAAUACUUCAAGUGAGUCAAACAGGAAGUUUUCCCAUUUAGUAAAACAGAAAUGAUACUUGUGUAAAUAGAUUUGGAUAAGUGUAUGUGUGUGUGUGUCUUUAAGUGAGAGCA